AUUGAAAACGACGCAACGUCGCCAUUUUCAAAUUUUGUAAUUUUCUUGAUUUUCAGUGCGUUUUAAUUAUUUAAUAGUGUAAUUUACUUGUUUUUCUUCUCCAUUUUUACAGAUUGACGAUAAAUAAUAGUCGAAGAGAUCAUUUUGUUGCUAUCGAAAAGAACGUCUACUACGGUGUUGUAGCUGUUAACUUUUCAUCGUGGAGGAGUUGUAGUUAAUUAAGAAACAUUGUAAAAACUCUGGACGGCAUUAAAGUAGUGAUUAUAUCAGUCAUCAAGUCAUCAUUCACUCCAGAGCAUAUGUGUACAUAUGGUGCUGUAGCAAACAUGAAGUGCCUUUUUUUUUCAUUGAAAAUGGAGGUAGUGUGCUAUUGCUAAAGGGAAGAUUUAUUACAAUAAACCAAUGAACUGACUGCCCAACAAAUGAGAUGGAGUUACAAUUAAUUUUGAUGUUACUGAAACCACCAGUGCUUUUAAAGUCUUCACAUAAUGCAGUUAAUUUUAAGCAUGUGAGAGAGAAGUAACUGGAAAUUAAUUUGGAAACUGCUAAAACAACAGAUUUGUCUGCCGUGGUAGCCCUCGUGGAUUUGGCUACAGUUGAUUAAGAUUGCCUAACAAACGAGAGAAUUACAAUGCAGUUUGGUCCUACUGAAACAACUAAUGUCUACUGGGGUGUGGUCUUUCAUGGACUAUAUUCUUGAUUUGCUGAUUUUGUCUUCGCCUUGCAACAUUUUUCAACUGACUAGUGAGAACAACUGGAGAUUUAUUGGAGUUCCACUAAAACAACAAAUUUUCUGCUAUGAUAUUCCUUCUGGAUUUGGUUUGCUUUUCACACAUGCAAACUUUGGAAUGU